rnacentral:lncRNA from 1 species
AUUAGUUAUGACUUUACAAUUAUAAAUAAAAAAUGAUUCAAAAAAAUUAAAAUUAAUAAAUCUUGUAAAAAAUAUAAAACAUCGUAUAUUACGUUAUUGAAAUUGAUUAAUCGAGCUUGAACAAUGUCCCACGAGAGAUUUUUAAGUAAUUUUAAGACAAAAAGGCUGUAAAAUAUUGUUCUAAACAGAACCUACGUCCAAUUUGGUGCUGGCUUGGUCCACUUA